rnacentral:tRNA from 1 species
ACCUGGUUAGUUCAGUCUGUAGGGCAUGAGACUCUUGAUCUCAGGGUCAUGAGUUCGAGCCUCAUGUUGGGCA